rnacentral:rRNA from 1 species
CACAUUCUUCCCUGAGACAGAGUUUUACGAUCCGAAGACCUUCUUCACUCACGCGGCGGUGCUCCGUCAGACUUUCGUCCUUUGCGGAAGAUUCCCCACGGCUGCCUCCCGUAG